GGGGCUGAUCGGUUUCGACUGCGUACGUCGAUUCAGGGGAAGCGUGUCGGUGCAGGCAGGAGACCACCGUAAGCGUCGCUGUAACCCAAUAAGCGCCGAUUCUCAUCAGCGCGACUACGCUCUCGCUGCCUAAGCAGUAGAGCGUGUCUGUCAGUCCGGGUUUGCUCUCGGCCCGGGUACUGGCAUCAGCUAGAGAGCUCUACCGUGCGGCUCGGUCGCGGAGUCGUACGGGACAUCGAACAGCGACUGGGAUCGUCAUCUCGGCUUGUUCGCGUGACCGAGAGAUCCGAGUAGAGGCUCAGCGAACUGCACACGGAGAAGCCCUGAAGAAGCGGCGGAGGACCCGGGUUCAAUUCCCGGCAGCUCCACCA
rfam:Mycobacterium sp. 852002-51759_SCH5129042 contig_181, whole genome shotgun sequence.